rnacentral:rRNA from 1 species
AGAAUGACUCUCGACAACGGAUAUCUCGGCUCUCGCAUCGAUGAAGAACAUAGCGAAAUGCGAUACUUGGUGUGAAUUGCAGAAUCCCGUGAACCAUCGAGUCUUUGAACGCAAGUUGCGCCCGAAGCCUUCUGGCCGAGGGCACGUCUGUCUGGGCAUCACGC